rnacentral:rRNA from 1 species
AUUGAACGCUGGCGGCAGGCUUAACACACGCAAGUGAAUGGUAGCAGGAGAAAGCUUGCUUUCUUGCUGACGAGUGGCGGACGGGAGAGUAAUGCUUGGGAAUCUGGCUUAUGGAGGGGGAUAACUACGGGAAACUGUAGCUAAUACCGCGUAGUAUCGAGAGAUGAAAGUGCGGGACCGUAAGGCCGCAUGCCAUGAGAUGAGCCCAAGUGGGAUUAGGUAGUUGGUGGGGUAAAGGCCUACCAAGCCUGCGAUCUCUAGCUGGUCUGAGAGGAUGGCCAGCCACACUGGAAUGAGACACGGUCCAGACUCCUACGGGAGGCAGCAGUGGGGAAUAUUGCGCAAUGGGGGGAACCCUGACGCAGCCAUGCCGCGUGAAUGAAG